GCCUAGUUAGCUUAGUUGGUAGUGCGUCUGCCUUGUAAGCGCUAGGUCGCGGGUUUGAUUCCCGCCCGGGGCG
rfam:Asian citrus Psyllid, Diaphorina citri - Florida Strain, whole genome shotgun sequence.